rnacentral:lncRNA from 1 species
AUGUUCCACCAUUGGAUUGGCCUGGUAACAAGCUACGACUUCAUCUACUUUGGUAUGUUGGUAAAGAAAUGGUAUGAAAAGCAGCACAUUCAAGCCAGAAAGAGGACAGAAAAGAGGACUGCAGAAGGGUCCAGAAUACUUAACAGUCAGCAAAGCGAACAGGUAACUAGAUCUGGGAGGAAAUGUUGCAGGUCUCUGGGGAAGCUGAGUUAUGUCAUAUUAGCCAAGUCCAUCCACAUUCAAGGAAACCCUCUGCCUAUAUUAUUUCCCUAGCACCAAGCCAACUAACAGAAACUGUAAGUUUGUAUGCAUUUAAAUAAACAAUAACCAUAUCUCCA